ACAUACAUGACUGCUUCAGUUAUUAGUUGAUAGACACACAAUUAAUAAUCAUUUUACUUUUCCCCAAAUAAUUGUUGAUGUUAGUUCUUCAGGAGAUGAUGACAGUGAACUGUUCAUUUUCUGAAACAGCCUCUUAAUAUUUGUUAAAUGUUAUGGUUCAGCUGUAAUGUUUAAUAUUUCUCUGUGUUUUUGUGGUUAAACUGUUGAUCAGUCAAAAUGGGAUUGAAAAAUAUCGUACCUUCAGUUUGAUAGGACGUGAUCAAACAUUCUUAAUUAUGUGUGUAUGCGAGACACACUAGACUACACCGUACUGUUUUCAUGGUUAAACUGUUGAUGAGGAAUAGGUAGUAGUGUAUUGAUCAUUUUCCUUUGUAUGUUUCUCUUUGAUUUCCUCCAGGUGUCACCACUUCGUCCGCCACAUCGUCCACGAUCACAGAGACAUGGUCCAUGAUCGGGGAGACAUUGUUGAGGAUGAGGGAGACAUCGUCCACGAUCGGAGACAUUGUCCAUGACUCGUGGUGACUCGGUCCCCGAUAAGUCGGCAUUGCCGGCGUUCAGAGACAUUGUCGAUGAUCGCAGAGACUUUGUCCAUAAUCUCAGAGGCAUUGUCCACGAUCACAGAGACAUAGUCCACGAUCACAGAGAUGUCCACAAUCACAGAGACAUGGUCCAUGAUCGGAGAGACAUUGUUGAGGAUGAGGGAGACAUCGUCCAUGAUCGGAGACAUUGUCCAUGACUCGUGGUGACUCGGUCCCCGAUAAGUCGGCAUUGCCGGCGUUCAGAGACAUUGUCGAUGAUCGCAGAGACUUUGUCCAUAAUCUCAGAGACAUUGUCCACGAUCACAGAGACGUAGUCCACGAUCACAGAGACAUCAUCCACGAUCUCAGAGAGACAACGUCCAAACCUUGGUGUCACCACUUCGUCCGCCACAUCGUCCACGAUCGUAGAGACAUGGUCCAUGAUCGGAGAGACAUUGUUGAGGAUGAGGGAGAUAUCGUCCACAAUCAGAGACAUUGUCUGUGAUCGCAGAGACCUUGUCAAAGAUGAGAGAGACGUUGUCCAUGAUCAGAGACAUUGUCACUGCUUCGCAGAGCUCUGCGCAAGAAUCGGUAGUGACACUGUGGUUCCUCGAUUCGACGGCAUGACCGCGAUCAGCUGACAUUGUUAAUGGUCACAGAGAAACAGUCUAUCAUCUUAGAGACAUUGUCCACGAUCACAGACACAUUGUCAAUGAUUGCAGAGACUUUGUCCAUAAUCUCAGAGACACUGUCCGCGAUCACAGAGACCUAGUCCACGAUCGCAGCGAGUCUUUGUACAACGAAGAAGUUCUGUGAGACCAGGACAGAGGCCCCCAGGUGUCACCACUUCGUCCACCACAUCGUCCACGAUCACAGAGACAUGGUCCAUGAUCGGGGAGACAUUGUUGAGGAUGAGGGAGACAUCGUCCACGAUCGCAGACAUUGUCCAUGACUCGUGGUGACUCGGUCCCCGAUAAGUCGGCAUUGCCGGCGUUCAGAGACAUUGUCGAUGAUCGCAGAGACUUUGUCCAUAAUCUCAGAGGCAUUGUCCACGAUCACAGAGACGUAGUCCACGAUCACAGAGAUGUCCACGAUCACAGAGACAUGGUCCAUGAUCGGAGAGACAUUGUUGAGGAUGAGGG